rnacentral:rRNA from 1 species
ACGCUGGCGGCGUGCCUAACACAUGCAAGUCGAACGGACGAUGAGGAGCUUGCUCCUCAAAGUUAGUGGCGGACGGGUGAGUAACGCGUGAGCAACCUGCCUUGCAAAGCGGGAUAACAUCGGGAAACUGGUGCUAAUACUGCAUAACGUAUUUGAGUCGCAUGGCUUAAAUACCAAAGGAGCAAUCCGAUGCAAGAUGGGCUCGCGUCUGAUUAGAUAGUUGGUGGGGUAACGGCCUACCAAGUCGACGAUCAGUAGCCGGACUGAGAGGUUGAACGGCCACACUGGAACUGAGACACGGCCCAAACUCCUACGGGAGGCAGCAGUGGGGAAUAUUGGACAAUGGGGGAAACCCUGAUCCAGCGACGCCGCGUGAGUGAAGAAGUAUUUCGGUAUGUAAAGCUCUAUCAGCAGGGAAGAUAAUGACGGUACCUGACUAAGAAGCCCCGGCUAACUACGUG